rnacentral:ncRNA from 1 species
AUAUAAGGGCAAACCUAUCUAAAGGUAGGGACGCAAAGCUAUAGGGCCUAUAUAAGUUGGCAGCCAGUUGC